GGGCUAAUACCGGAUAACAUUUUGAACCGCAUGGUUCGAAAUUGAAAGGCGGCUUCGGCUGUCACUUAUGGAUGGACCCGCGUCGCAUUAGCCAGUUGGUGAGGUAACGGCUCACCAAGGCAACGAUGCGUAGCCGACCUGAGAGGGUGAUCGGCCACACUGGGACUGAGACACGGCCCAGACUCCUACGGGAGGCAGCAGUAGGGAAUCUUCCGCAAUGGACGAAAGUCUGACGGAGCAACGCCGCGUGAGUGAUGAAGGCUUUCGGGUCGUAAAACUCUGUCGUUAGGGAAGAACAAGUGCUAGUUGAAUAAGCUGGCACCUUGACGGUACCUAACCAGAAAGCCACGGCUAACUACGUGCCAGCAGCCGCGGUAAUACGUAAGUGGCAAGCGUUAUCCGGAAUUAUUGGGCGUAAAGCGCGCGCAGGUGGUUUCUUAAGUCUGAUGUGAAAGCCCACGGCUCAACCGUGGAGGGUCAUUGGAAACUGGGAGACUUGAGUGCAGAAGAGGAAAGUGGAAUUCCAUGUGUAGCGGUGAAAUGCGUAGAGAUAUGGAGGAACACCAGUGGCGAAGGCGACUUUCUGGUCUGUAACUGACACUGAGGCGCGAAAGCGUGGGGGAGCAAACAA
rnacentral:rRNA from 1 species